CAAAACCAUCAGCGUAGUUGAGCAUGUGAUGGAGACCCAUUUAAGUCUUAUUUUCUAUUCGGUACUUAGGAAUUUAACCGCAAAAGUUAUUUGGAAUACGUCAAAUGAACGGUCUUAUCUGCAUGUGUUAGCAUCCAAGGGAGAAAACGUGUUACUUCCGCUUGUCAUCCUCCCUCGUCCGCUGUCAGGCGUGAGGAGACAGUGAUGCAAUGCGUCCCGCUCCCUGUCCCAGAAGCCCUGUCACCUGAAGGAAGUGGCAUUAACCACCCUGGACAGCCAGCCACCACUGGGCUGCUGUUGUGGAAUCGUGAUGAAACCAUAUGGAGACUGGGCGGCGUAAAUGACUUCUUAGGAGUGCAGCGAGAUGUGAAGGACGGACUGACAGGAGACGGGAGCGCGGCGAGCACACUAAUGAGCUACAUGCUUCAC
ensembl:lncRNA